UACGUAGGUGGCAAGCGUUGUCCGGAUUUACUGGGCGUAAAGCGCGCGCAGGCGGACUGAUCAGUCUGGGGUGAAAUCUCCCGGCUCAACUGGGAGCGGUCCCUGGAUACUGUCAGUCUUGAGAGACCUAGAGGAGAGCGGAAUUCCCGGUGUAGUGGUGGAAUGCGCAGAUAUCAGGAGGAACACCGGUGGCGAAGGCGGGUCUCUGGGCCAUUACUGACGCUGAGGAGCGAAAGCGUGGGGAGCGAACAGG
rnacentral:rRNA from 1 species